rnacentral:rRNA from 1 species
CGUAGGGUGCGAGCGUUAAUCGGAAUUACUGGGCGUAAAGCGUGCGCAGGCGGUUUUGUAAGACAGAUGUGAAAUCCCCGGGCUCAACCUGGGACCUGCAUUUGUGACUGCAAGGCUAGAGUACGGUAGAGGGGGAUGGAAUUCCGCGUGUAGCAGUGAAAUGCGUAGAUAUGCGGAGGAACACCGAUGGCGAAGGCAAUCCCCUGGACCUGUACUGACGCUCAUGCACGAAAGCGUGGGGAGCAAACAGGAUUAGAUACCCUGGUAGUCCACGCCCUAAACGAUGUCAACUGGUUGUUGGGUCUUUACUGACUCAGUAACGAAGCUAACGCGUGAAGUAGACCGCCUGGGGAGUACGGCCGCAAGGUUG